CCUACGGGAGGCAGCAGUAGGGGAUAUUGCUCAAUGGGGGGAACCCUGAUGCAGCGACGCCGCGUGGGUGAAGGAGCGUUUCGGCGCGUAAAGCCCUUUUGGUAGGGAAGAUGAUGACGGUAUCUAACCAAGAAGCACCGGCUAACUACGUGCCAGCAGCCGCGGUAAUACGGAGGGGGCAAGCGUUACUCGGAAUCACUGGGGGUAAAGGGCGCGUAGGCGGGAAUGCAAGUCAGGAGUGAAAGCCCAGGGCCUAACCACAGGACUGCACUUGAAACUGCUAGUCUGGAGUAUGGGAGGGGCAGGCGGAAUUCCUAGUGUAGGGGUGAAAUGCGUAGAUAUUAAGAGGAAUACCGGUGGCGAAGGCGGCCGGCUGGACCAUAACUGACGCUGAUGCGCGAAAGCGUGGGGAGCAAACAGGAUUAGAUACCCUUGUAGUC
rnacentral:rRNA from 1 species